rfam:Bacillus sp. FJAT-27231 Scaffold1, whole genome shotgun sequence.
ACGAAAGUCAAAGGGGAGUAGCGUUAGGUAUUUUACCUAAAACAAAGUCGUCAAUUCAUGGAUCGUAUCCAUCGGCUUUGUUGACAUGAGUGUAAGCAUGUC